rnacentral:rRNA from 1 species
GACGAACGCUGGCGGCGUGCUUAACACAUGCAAGUCGAACGGACCUUCGGGUUAGUGGCGAACGGGUGAGUAACACGUGGGUGAUCUGCCCUGCACUUUUGGAUAAGCCUGGGAAACUGGGUCUAAUACCGAAUAGGACCACGCGCUUCAUGGUGUGUGGUGGAAAGCUGUUGCGGUGUGGGAUGGACCCGCGGCCUAUCAGCUUGUUGGUGGGGUAAUGGCCUACCAAGGCGACGACGGGUAGCCGGCCUGAGAGGGUGACCGGCCACACUGAGACUGAGAUACGACCCAGACUCCUACGGGAGGCAGCAGUGGGGAAUAUUGCACAAUGGGCGCAAGCCUGAUGCAGCGACGCCGCGUGAGGGACGACGGCCUUCGGGUUGUAAACCUCUUUUAGCAGGGAAGAAGCGAAAGUGACGGUACCUGCAGAAAAAGCACCGGCUAACUACGUGCCAGCAGCCGCCGUAACAC